UACGAAGGGAGCUAGCGUUGUUCGGAAUUACUGGGCGUAAAGGGCGCGUAGGCGGCUUGGCAAGUUGGAUGUGAAAGCCCUGGGCUCAACCCGGGAACUGCAUUCAAAACUGCCUUGCUUGAAUUCGGUAGAGGUUGGUGGAAUUCCCAGUGUAGAGGUGAAAUUCGUAGAGAUUGGGAGGAACACCCGUGGCGAAGGCGGCCAACUGGACCGACAUUGACGCUGAGGCGCGAAAGCGUGGGGAUCAAACAGG
rnacentral:rRNA from 1 species